GCCCUAGCAACAGUUACCAAGAUCAACAAACAGCGGGGAAGCCUGGACCAGAGCUCAGUCCCUUUUGGAGAGGGCCCUGAGGGAGACGCGUCAGUCCCGAUGGGGGUCUCGGGGCUGGGGUAGCGGAGGCGAGGGGUUGAGUCAGGGAGCCUACAGAGUCUCUUGGGGUUGCUCUACGCCACAGACAUGAGCACAGCCAUUUGCUAUGUGUAAUUAAAUUGAGCUAAUUUCAUUCUGUGGCACAGAGCAGGGGAAUCAGGGUUCUCAAAAAACGUUAUUAUCUUAUCUCAUUUUGUGUAAAUAUCUUCAUGGCGCAGCUGGACAGGAAGAAAAGACAUUUUUGAGAUGUUCCUGGUCCCCUAAAUGGAUUGCGUCCUGUUCCUUCAGCAUUAAAGUCAGUCUAAAGCAGAGGCCUCCGGGAGCUGACGUGGAUGAAAUGUUACAUUUGUAUCAUCAUUCUACAGAUGGACAGGAAAGCACUUUUUCUGGAUAAAUCGAAGGAGGGAGGCUGAGGGAUCAAACCACUGUGAGCCCCACGGGGACCCUGACAUCUCUGCCCGUGAGCCAGCGACAGCCAUCCAUCUUUCUAGGUUACACAUAAGUCAUCGCAGGCAGGCGAGAGUUGGACCUAUUUCUGAAGAUCUGUUCAGCAAGCAGGUCCUUUCAUCUGAGGACACAACGAAAGACACUGGCUUGUGGUACCAUUUCCUGACACCAUUUGGGGCUGGCAGUCCAGCAGGCGGACAGCUUUGUGGCACGGUACGGAAGAGUUGGCAGACUUUCCAAGAGAGGUUCCAUAUGUGAAAGGUGCUGAUUAGGAAGUUUUCAAAUCUGCAACAACCAGUGAUCCCUGAGAGCACAAACCCAGCACAACGCACGAUGCUGUCGCACUGCACCUGCCGAGGAAGCGCUGGCAUGCCCGUCUGCAUCACGCCGUACACCAGCUUUCCAGUUGAAAGAUAAUAUCCACAAGCACUAAAUGUCUCUUGAAGUGGAUAGGAUUCAGGUUGCCUUAAAGACUACAAACUUCAUCUGCCCCAAAUAUGGCAGUGGAGGCUACAAAUCUGAGCCAAAAACAAGCCAAGAAAUGGAAAGGAUGUGAUUUAUAGCUUCCAUUCCAAAGAAGUUGAUGCGAAAUAAUUUGUUCAUCCUAAUAAGGUUUUAAUAGAUUCUUUCCCAUGACACUUAUUGCAAACUAGAACAUUAAGCUUGACAGAAGGCUGAUUAUGACUAUGGAUUUAGUAAAGCGACAAACAAAUUGCCUUGGUUAUAAAACCUGAGAUUGCUUCAUUUAGUUUUGCAGCAUAUGGAAUUCUUCUUGGCAAACCAUUACACAUGCAGCAUGCCUUUCUAACUGAAACUAGUGAUUCCCUUUGUCACCAUUUAUUCCGUCAUUUCCUGGUGCAGAAACCUUCAUAGCAUCAUAUGAUAAAGGCUGAAAUCAGAGUCUGAAAUACAGCUCCUCCUGACCUUCCUUCCUGGCCUCGCUGCCCUUCAGGCUCUUAGGGGAACCUUUAGAUAAAAAGUCUACAUGCUCUUCCCUCAACAUGCCUUGUGCCUUCCUGCCUCUGUAGUUCACACAAUGCUGCUGGAAAGUCCUUGUUCUUUCUUCCAUCUUGACGUACUGAAGUCCUUUCAA
rnacentral:lncRNA from 1 species